CAGAGGGCUUAUUUGCACAGUGUACUUACCUAAGCAGGGCUGGUUACAAGCCCCAGAGGCCCCAAGAGGGCUUCUCAGGCCUCACCAGCAAGAGCACAAUUAGGGACCCGUGGAGGACUCUUGUUGCCGAAGUUGUUAUGAAGUCACAACUUCAUCAAAAUGCAUUCCCUGACCUCACCGACAGGUUCAAGUUGCACCGUGAGACAUGCACUGGCACCAUGAACCUAUCAGAUAAAGUGACCUGAGGGUUGCAGUCCUGCAUUUAUUUAUUUGAUGAACAUACCUCUGCUUCAUCAGACAAUGAUGAAGCUGAGGUCUGGAGACUGAGUUGCCCAGAAACACACAACUAGUCAGUAGCCAUGGAGGAAUUGGCUUUGAAACGAAGAUGUGUCUGAUUUUGAGUAAUUUUUUAUUCCAAGAUGGAGCGCAGCCUCAAAAUAGAACAGACUGCUCAGCUACCUCAUAGAGAACGUGAGAAAUAACCCAAGAAGAAGAAAGAAUGAGAGGGAGCUGGAAUGAACGAUCAUGGCUGGAGGUUCAGUAGAAGGUUGCUGGCCGCGGGAGCAAGGCCCAGGACCUAAGGAAGAAGGGCUGGCUGGGGCCAUAGGAAGCAGGGGAUGCAGCCAGAUCAGCACCACAGCUGACUGAGGGGGGUGCCGAAGAAGCUCAGACCCUGGCAGGAAAGGACCUGGCUUUCUUGUUUAGAGCACUACACAAAAUGCAAUGCACUGUCAAUUCUUGGGUCAUCCCCUCCCUCCGCGUUCUUUUUAGCAAAAGGAGUUAUUAUUUCUACUUUC